rnacentral:tRNA from 1 species
GGAGAGGUGGCUCAGUGGUUAAGAGCACUGGCUGCUCUUUUAGAGGUCCUGAGUUCAAUUCCCAGCAACCACA